GUGUCAGCAGCCGCGGUAAGACGAACCGUGCAAACGUUGUUCGGAUUCACUGGGCUUAAAGGGCGCGUAGGCGGGCCUGCCAGUCCGGGGUGAAAUCUUUCGGCUUAACCGGAAAAUCGCCCUGGAUACUGCAGGUCUUGAGGGAGGUAGGGGCAUGCGGAACUUCCGGUGGAGCGGUGAAAUGCGUUGAUAUCGGAAGGAACUCCGGUGGCGAAAGCGGCGUGCUGGAUCUCUACUGACGCUGAGGCGCGAAAGCCAGGGGAGCAAACGGGAUUAGAUACCCCGGUAGUCCUGGCCCUAAACGAUGGGUACUAGGUAGUGGACUUGACAUGGGUUCACUGCCGAAGCCAAAGUGCUAAGUACCCCGCCUGGGGAGUAUGGUCGCAAGGCUGAA
rnacentral:rRNA from 1 species